AGUGAACGCUGGCGGUAGGCCUAACACAUGCAAGUCGAACGGCAGCACAGUAAGAGCUUGCUCUUACGGGUGGCGAGUGGCGGACGGGUGAGGAAUACAUCGGAAUCUACUUUUUCGUGGGGGAUAACGUAGGGAAACUUACGCUAAUACCGCAUACGACCUACGGGUGAAAGCAGGGGAUAUUCGGACUUUGCGCGAUUGAAUGAGCCGAUGUCGGAUUAGCUAGUGGGCGGGGUAAAGGACCACCAAGGCGACGAUCCGUAGCGGGUCUGAGAGGAUGAUCUGCCCCACUGGAACUGAGACACGGUCCCGACUCCUACGGGAGGCAGCAGUUGGGAAUAUUGGACAAUGGGCGCAAGCCUGAUCCAGCCAUACCGCGUGGGUGAAGAAGGCCUUCGGUUUGUAAAGCCCUUUUGUUGGGAAAGAAAAGCAGCAGGUCAAUACCCCGCUGUUCUGACGGUACCCAAAGAAUAAGCACCGGCUAACUUCGUG
rnacentral:rRNA from 1 species